rnacentral:rRNA from 1 species
UGGCGGACGGGUGAGUAACGCGUGGGUAACCUGCCUCAUACAGGGGGAUAACAGUUAGAAAUGACUGCUAAUACCGCAUAAGACCACAGCACCGCAUGGUGCAGGGGUAAAAACUCCGGUGGUAUGAGAUGGACCCGCGUCUGAUUAGGUAGUGGUGGGGUAACGGCUUACCAAGCCGACGAUCAGUAGCCGACCUGAGAGGGUGACCGGCCACAUUGGGACUGAGACACGGCCCAA